rnacentral:misc_RNA from 1 species
GAUGAAGAACGUAGCGAAAUGCGAUAAGUAGUGUGAAUUGCAGAAUUCAGUGAAUCAUCGAAUCUUUGAACGCACAUUGCGCCCCUUGGUAUUCCAUGGGGCAUGCCUGUUCGAGCGUCAUUUGUACCUUCAAGCUUUGCUUGGUGUUGGGUGUUUGUCCCUCGGGACUCGCCUUAAAGUCAUUGGCAGCCAGUGUUUUGGUUUUGAAGCGCAGCACAAGUCGCGAUUCAAGGCUAUCCGCCCGCUUCCACAAGCCUUGUUCACUUUUGACCUCGGAUCAGGUAGGGAUACCCGCUGAACUUAAGCAUAUCAAUAAGCGGAGGA